CCAAUAGCGUAUAUUAAAGUUGUUGCAGUUAAAAAGCUCGUAGUUGAACUUCGGGGUUCACCCAUUGGUCAGGCUUAAUUGUCUGUACUGGUGAGAUGAGUCUCUACCUUCUGAGGAACUUUCAUGCCAUUUAUUUGGUGUGAUGGGAAAUCAGGACUGUUACUUUGAAAAAAUUAGAGUGUUUAAAGCAGGCUAACGUCUGAAUACAUUAGCAUGGAAUAAUGAAAUAGGACGGAUUGAUUCUAUUUCGUUGGUUUCUAGGAUCACCGUAAUGAUUAAUAGGGAUAGUUGGGGGCAUUAGUAUUCAAUUGUCAGAGGUGAAAUUCUUGGAUUUAUUGAAGACUAACUACUGCGAAAGCAUUUGCCAAGGAUGUUUUCAUUAAUCAAGAACGAAAGUUAGGGGAUCGAAGACGAUCAGAUACCGUCGUAGUCUUAACCAUAAACUAUGCCGACUAGGGAUCGGACGAAGUUAAUUUUAUAAUGACGCGUUCGGCACCUUACG
rnacentral:misc_RNA from 1 species